ACGAACGCUGGCGGCGUGCUUAACACAUGCAAGUCGAACGGAAAGGCCCCUUUGGGGGUACUCGAGUGGCGAACGGGUGAGUAACACGUGAGUAACCUGCCCUUGACUUCGGGAUAACUUCAGGAAACUGGGGCUAAUACCGGAUAGGAAUCCUUGCUGCAUGGUGGGGGUUGGAAAGCUUCGGCGGUUUUGGAUGGACUCGCGGCUUAUCAGCUUGUUGGUGGGGUGGUGGCUUACCAAGGCUUUGACGGGUAGCCGGCCUGAGAGGGCGACCGGCCACAUUGGGACUGAGAUACGGCCCAGACUCCUACGGGAGGCAGCAGUGGGGAAUAUUGCACAAUGGGCGGAAGCCUGAUGCAGCAACGCCGCGUGCGGGAUGACGGCCUUCGGGUUGUAAACCGCUUUCAGCAGGGGCGAAGCUUGUGGUGACGGUACCUGCAGAAGAAGCACCGGCUAACUACGUG
rnacentral:rRNA from 1 species